CCUACGGGUGGCAGCAGUGGGGAAUAUUGCUCAAUGGGCGAAAGCCUGACGCAGCGACGUCGCGUGAGGGAUGAAUGUCUUCGGAUCGUUAACCUCUGUCAGCAGGGAAGAACGGUCACUGUGCUAAUCAGCAGUGAAUUGACGGUACCUGCAAAGGAAGCACCGUCUAACUCCGUGCCAGCAGCCGCGGUAAUACGGAGGGUGCGAGCGUUAAUCGGAAUUACUGGGCGUAAAGCGAUCGUAGGCGUGAUGUGAAGUGAAGGGUGAAAUCCCCGGGCUCAACGUGGGAAGUGCCUGUGAAACUGGCAAACUGGAGUGUGUGAGAGGAUAGUGGAAUUCCAGGUGUAGGAGUGAAAUCCGUAGAUAUCUGGAGGAACAUCAGUGGCGAAGGCGACUAUCUGGCACAUAACUGACGCUGAGGAGCGAAAGCGUGGGUAGCAAACAGGAUUAGAUACCCGUGUAGUC
rnacentral:rRNA from 1 species